rnacentral:tRNA from 1 species
GGGGUUGUGGCUCAGUGGUAGAGUGUUUGCCUCACAUGCAUGAGGGACUGGGUUCAAUCCUCAGCACCA